rnacentral:rRNA from 1 species
AAGUACCUACGGGGGGCAGCAGUGAGGAAUAUUGGUCAAUGGGCGCAAGCCUGAACCAGCCAAGUCGCGUGAGGGAUGACGGUCCUAUGGAUUGUAAACCUCUUUUGUCGGGGAGCAAGGCCCGCCACAUGUGGCGGGAAGGAGAGUACCCGAAGAAAAAGCCUCGGCUAACUCCGUGCCAGCAGCCGCGGUAAUACGGAGGAUGCGAGCGUUAUCCGGAUUUAUUGGGGUUAAAGGGUGCGUAGGCGGGAGGGUAAGUCAGCGGU